rnacentral:rRNA from 1 species
CCUACGGGUGGCAGCAGUGAGGAAUAUUGGUCAAUGGGCGCAAGCCUGAACCAGCCAAGUAGCGUGAAGGAUGACUGCCCUACGGGUUGUAAACUUCUUUUAUACAGGAAUAAACUGAGGCACGUGUGCCUUUUUGUAUGUACCUUAUGAAUAAGGAUCGGCUAAUUCCGUGCCAGCAGCCGCGGUAAUACGGAGGAUCCGAGCGUUAUCCGGAUUUAUUGGGUUUAAAGGGUGCGCAGGCGGCCUUUUAAGUCAGCGGUGAAAGUCUGUGGCUCAACCCUAGAAUUGCCGUUGAAACUGGGGGGCUUGAGUGUGCUGGAGGCAGGCGGAAUGCGUGGUGUAGCGGUGAAAUGCUUAGAUAUCACGAAGAACUCCGAUUGCGAAGGCAGCCUGCCAAGCCAUGACUGACGCUGAUGCACGAAAGCGUGGGGAUCAAACAGGAUUAGAUACCCCAGUAGUC